UUCCGGGCCAGGCGGUGGCCGCGUGACCCUGGUGAGGUGACUCACGUUUCUGAACCUCCGGAUCCCCGUUCACAGGGUCCCCUCCUCCUGGCCCAGUGCUGGGGGAACCCACUUGGAUGGAGAAGAGGGGAUGACUACCUUCCAGCUCACCUGCUCCAGGCCCUCAAAUAUCACCUGGAUGGAACAGCCCCUCCUAUAGAAGACCUGGCUGGCUGCUGAGUUUGAUUUCCAGAAGGGCAGAGCUACUCCUACCUGGUAUCCAGCCAAGCCCACAACAGGCGCUCAGAAGAUCCUGAUUGAAUGAACACACCCUAAUUCCCGAUGAGAUUUGUUUAACUGGGAUAAACACUCAGACAAUAAAACUGAGAGCAAGCCUGGAGAGAGCUACAUAAAGGAAAAGACCCCGGACCUCACAGCCAGGAGCCUGAGUUCAAAUCCUGCCUCCUGCAAAAGGCCGCGUGUGGCUUAGCCUCAUUUUCCUCACCUGUGAAAUGGAAGAUACUAAAGCCUGGACGCGGGAUUCUCCUGGAGAACAAAAGUGACGCUGGCAGAAGGAAGCUACUUUGCAGGCAGUCUAUAAACGCGAUCUGGGGCCACCCUGCGGCACUCAGCACCCAAUGCCUGGCAUGUCCCUUCUCAGUCCAUAGAUCUGCUUCUUCCAGGAGCCUGUGAGCUGGUGCGGGAACUCUGCUCACAAGUUCUGAACAGAAGAGCUCGGUGCCUGGCAUCCAGUGGGUGCUCAAUAAAUAAAUCAGUGAAUAAUGAACCCAGGCAGAUUGCUCCCCCUCUGAACCUCUUUCCACUUUGUAGGUAGGUAAUCUCCCGGCGCUUUCCUCUGUGGUUCCUACCACACCUAGUGAUUUCCUUUGUGGAGCCAGCCCUAGGAAUCACAUUUAGGGAAGGUGGGUGGUGAGAAGUUGAUUAAAAGG